CUUUAGCCACCACUUGGAAUGCACCUCCUCCUCCAAAAGCCAUCCAUCCUCAUCUGUCCUCGGCUCCACUCCAUCCAUUUGCGUACACAUUUAUAUAUAUUUAUAUGGUAUAUAUGGUAUAUAACCUCACACGGUGGCGGAGUGGAUGAUGAAAGGAAGAAGGAAAAUCGGAAGAACAAGCAAACCCUAGCCUUGCCCCGAAGAAAUCUCAAUCCCGAUUCCAUUUCUAUCAGAUCCCAAGUCAGAGAGAGAAAGAGAGAGACAACCCCUUGAUCGCCGGUCGUAAUUUAUCUGUUGCGUCGCUGGUAUUUAUCUGUUCUUCCGACGGAUAAAAGAGUUUUCGGAGUUUUACAGGAAGGACGAAAGAGGGGGGAGAGAGAGAGAGAGAGAGACGCAGAGAUAAGAGAUCAGAGGGGAUUUAAAUUGGAAACGAGUACGACGGAGCUAGGGUUUUUGAAUCAUGUCUGCAGUAGUCUGUGGUAGCAAGAGAUCCUACUUUGAAGAUCAACACCCCUCGACCGCUUCCCCUAUCCCCAUCACUAAAAAGCUCCGCCGUUGCUCCCCUCCUCCCGGUUCUGCCGCCCCAGGGAGUUUCCCGGCCCCGUCUCUUCUCGACCGCCUCUCCGCCCUUUUCCCACAUAUGGAGGCUCAGGUUCUUGAGAGAGCGUUAGAAGCAUGUGGCAAUGACAUAGAUGCUGCAAUCAAGAGCCUUCACGAGCUGUGCCUGGGAUCUGCAGAGGAGAAUCAUGCCCCUGCUGAAGAAUCCGUUUCUAAUGUUGAGCAAGUACCUGUUGCUGAUAACGGAAGUGGCUUGGCUCCUGAAGAUCCAUUGGCUCCGAAUAAUAUUCCUGCUGAUGGUCCAGAAUGGGUGGAAUUGUUUGUGAAGGAGAUGAUGAGUGCCACUAGCCUCGAUGAUGCCAGAGCGCGUGCAGCGAGAGCUCUCGAGGUCUUUGAGCAUUCUGUCAGCAGGAGAGCUGGUGCACAGGCAGUGGAAAAUUCACAACAGGUGUAUAAUAGAUGCGAUGUUUGUGCAAAUGGAAACCAUCAUGCUGAAGCAGCAAAUCGAGGCAUUGAUGCGAGAGAACAGCAUUCUAAAACGGGCUGUUGCUAUUCAGCAUGAGCGUCAGAAAGAGUGCGAGGAUAAGAAUCGGGAACUGCAGCAGUUGAGGCAGCUAGUUUCUCAGUAUCAGGAGCAGCUGAGGAUGCUCGAGGUGAACAACUAUGCUUUGACGAUGCAUCUGAAACAGGCUCAGCAGAGCAACUCCAUUCCUGGGCGCUUCAAUCCCGAUGUUUUCUGAUUGUGAUAUCAGGAACAUUCGCAUGGAAAAGCAUCGAUUCAACCUCACUAGUAGUAAGGAAAGAUGAGGGACUGUGGGGGAUUCGACAAAGAGACCCUCCUAUUGGGCUCGCCUUGUUCGCCUUCUACCCCCCUCAUUGGGGAUUGAUGGUUUAUAGAUAUUGUAUGCCUUUUGCUUGUGAUAGAAUAAAGAAAUGUAUGUUUCUUAUGGAUAGACAUUUGCAAGUCCAAAGAGUAAAUGGAUGACUUCAGGUUGGUAUCAGUUUUGCA